rnacentral:rRNA from 1 species
CUACGGGAGGCAGCAGUGGGGAAUAUUGGGCAAUGGGGGAAACCCUGACCCAGCAACGCCGCGUAAAGGAAGAAGGUCUUCGGAUUGUAAACUUUUGUCCCAUGGGAAGAAAAAAAUGACGGUACCAUGGGAGGAAGCCCCGGCUAACUACGUGCCAGCAGCCGCGGUAAUACGUAGGGGGCGAGCGUUGUCCGGAAUUACUGGGCGUAAAGGGUGCGCAGGCGGCUUGUCAAGUCAUAUGUGAAAUACCCAGGCUUAACUUGGGGGGUGCAUAUGAAACUGGCGAGCUUGAGUGCAGGAGAGGGGAGCGGAAUUCCUAGUGUAGCGGUGAAAUGCGUAGAUAUUAGGAGGAACACCAGUGGCGAAGGCGGCUCUCUGGACUGCAACUGACGCUGAGGCACGAAAGCGUGGGGAGCAAACAGGAUUAGAUACCCGGGUAGUCCC